CUCUCUCUUUCCUAUCCUCUCCUUCAACCCCUGCCUCUUCCCUGCUGCUCCGCCGCCGCCUCUUUCUCCGCCAAAUACACUACAUGCCGCCGCCUAUGCCCGUGCCCUCUUCAUCUCCCAUCCCGAGCUCCACCUCCUCCAGCCUCAUAUCCCCUGAUCUUCCCGAUUUGGUUCACGGGAGCACACGGGAGGGAGUCUUCGAGUGGUGGCAGCGUCAGAUCCCUCCGUCUCGCGAGGCAGGGUCUCCUGUCCGUGCCACGAUGCCGCCGGCAUGGAGGCCCAGGCCGGGUAGCCGCCGCGGUAUCGGGUGCGCCGGUGAGGUCUCUGGGGACCGCGCAGUAGGGGACUGGCGCGGCUUCUGGUCGUUGGUUCCGGCGAUGCCAAGCCAAAGAUCUGAGUCGUAGAGCCGCAAGUAGCAGCUGGACAUCCAUCCGCCGACCCCGAUAGCAAGCUUCGGCCAUCCGCCACCCCCGAGCUCCAUCCGUCUGCUGCCCCCUACCCAUCCGGCUGCCUCGGAGUCACAGCCGUGGAUAGCCCCAUCAGCCGCAACCUUCACCAGCCAUGCACAAACCUUCCGAAGACAAAUUUUAGCUAUGUUAUGCCUGACGAGUUAUCCAUGCUGUGAUAGCUCCAUGGGCCUGACGAGUUAUCCAUCAUCCAUGUAUCUACUAAGUUAUCUGUGACGCUUAACCAUCAUCCAUGUAUCUAUCUUUCUUAUUAGUACUCCAGAACUAAGUCUUGUUUGGUCAUCAAUUUGUUCUCUGUUGGCAUGUAAAUUCUGGAUGUUUUUUUUGGUUUCCUCCUAAUUUAGUCCUAGGAAUGAUACAGGUUGUCAAGUUUUAUGUUGUUGAUCUGCUUCAGGCCAUGCUUCUCUGUUUCUUGAAUUAUAAUUGUUUGCAGAAUAUUUUGUGAGAGUUCCUGAUACUUUUCCUUUCUUAAAGAAGCAAACACAUAUUGUUUUCUUGAAAAGAUUGACAGCUUGUACUUCAAAUUUACCGUAUGGUAGUCAUACUAAUUUCUGAACCAGCUUAAUAGUUUUUGUAGGACCAUAGCAAAGAAUUAUAGCACCAACCACUUUAUUUAACGAUAGAUUUUUUUAGCAUCUACUUGUUAUACUAAAAUAUCAUGGUUUUCUGAAUUUAAUAUGUAAACGUGUCACCAUCGGGCACGCAACUCUCAUCUCCACUCUCUGUCAUCCGCUAGGGAUGGAGGGGCUGCCGAAAUCCACCUCAUGGAAGAGGGGUAGGCAGAAGUAUGGCGGAUGUUGUCUCCCUCCUUCCACACGGUCGCAACAUCAGGAGAGGGUUCAACCCCCGUGUGGUUCUGCACCAAGGUCUGUGACGAGGGUGAUUGGUAGUUCACCCUUACUAUGGAUGAUUAGUGGAAGUAUGUAGCAAACAAGUGCUUACAGUAGGAACAUGAAAAGGCUGGCUUGAUGCAGUUAUGUACUGUAUCGGUUCUGAAUAACCCUACUUGUGCAGUUUCUGUCAAGAAUGGAAUCUAUGAGUUCUGGAACUGGUUUGAUGAUAGGACUUGGUAAGAGCCUCACAAACAGCUGAAUAAUUUAAUAAUGUGCAGGUUAUUUGUAAAGCGAAAACACAGUUAGAAUACAUGGCUGAAUUAUCUUCUGCUGCCUUUAUUUUGAGUAUCCCCUUGGUCGUGUUAUCGGUGACACUAUGUAUCCUGGGUUGACGUUUUGAUAGCUGGAAGCAUUUGGUGGCAUGUUACUGAAAAAUGUGCCUGAAAUAUUUGAUCGGUCUACUAAGUUGGUAAACGCUCUAAACAUCCAAGUGUUGGUGGAGAUCGUUUGCGUGUUACUGCUCCAAUUUUCUCAGCAAAUGCUUUGUGGGCUACUUACCUCUUGACAAAGGAAGCAAAGGGCACUGGAGCUGGAUAGAUGCCAGUAGCCAUUCUGGCAAUGAUCUGCUCUUCUUGAGGGGGUAGGAGAGUCUGGUGCCUCCCCCAUGUAGUUGUGAAUGGCGGUGGUGGCGGAGCAAGCGCUGCCGGAGCAGCAGAUGGCGGCCGAGAGCGGCGAAGCACAGAUCUUGGCGGCGGCGGAGGCUGCAGCGGGCAGAAGGGAAAGCUCCCCUCCAAAGUCCGAGCUCUCGACGGGGAAGAGGAAUCCCCUGGCGCCCGGAUGGAAUCAGAGAUGCAAAGGCUGAGGAUUGGUGCUGCUGCACCAAGCAUGACACCGUGUCCCGAAUCGAAUCAGUGCGUUCGAGAAGGCUGUAAGAUGUUUUGCAGAGAAGCCUGCUGAAAAUGUUCUUGGUACUACAUUUGACUCCUUGGGCGAGGCUUAUGACUUCUACAAUCUGUAUUCAUGGGAAAAAUGUUUUGUCAUUCGCUACGGGAAGAGUCGGCCAAAUGUGGAGUGGGUAAAAUGCAUACAGGAAAUAGUCUGUGGCUGCUCGGGUAAAGCUGGUGUAGACUUCUACGGGCAGAAGAUAAUGGGCGGUAUAUUGCAGAGCAUAGAGAAAAUCAUAAGCACUCACUUUCGCCUAAUUUUGCUGACAAAAUCCAUUGUCCAUCACAUAAGCAUAUUGACGUGUACCUGAGAGAUCUCAUAAAGCAACUCAGGCAAAACAAUGUGAAUCUGGGCAAGGUUUAUAGUAUCAUAGGUGGCAUUUUCGGUUCAAUGGAGAAUGUUCCCUUCACCAAAAGGUCAUUGCGAAAUCUGUGUGGGCAGAUAAACAGGGACCAAGCGGAUGAUGAUGUGAGGAAGACAGUGGAAGUUUUUGCAGACAUUGGAGCCACGGAUCUGCAUUUCACAUACUGGGUUCAGGCUGACACUGAGGGCAGGAUCAAGAACCUUAUUUGGGCAACUGGUACCAGAAGGUUGCAGUACACAUUUUUUUGGAGACGUGAUAACAUUUGACACCACAUACAGGACCAACCUGUAUGAUAUGCCUUUCAGGUUGUUUGCUGGAGUCAACAAUCAUUUCCAGAGUGUGAUAAUGAUGGGCGUGCUAGUCCAGGAUGAGACAAAAAAGAGUUUCGACUGGCUAUUCUUGGAGUUCGUCAGAAUGAUGGGUGGAUCUCCACCAGUCACCAUACUCACAGGGUUGACCACUACUGAGAGCGAACCUUGCAGUGGAGAGGCAUGCUAGCAAGAUAUACACGAGGGCUAUGUUUGAGCAUUUUGGACACAUUUUGUAUGAGUGCGGGGCUUUUCAGGUUGAAGAGAUUCAAAAACAUAAGACAUACAUCACGAUCUAUAGUGAAGCAGAGAAAAGAGAGAAGUGGUCGAAAAUUUCAUACAAGGUUACAAUGCUUGGGCAAUGAAUUCGACUGCGAGUGUGGGAAAUUUGCACACAUGGGCCUGCUGUGUAGCUAUGUACUGAAGGUGCUCGAUUUCAUUGGGGCUAAAGAAAUACCAGCUAAGCAUAUAGUGAAGAGAUGGACGAGGGAUGCUUGCGACGUUCUGCCACCUCAUUUGAUACAAUGCCAAAAGGACAGCAUACAGAACAACCCUUUAUCGUACAGACACUUCAUGAUGUACUUGCACGCCAUGGAUCUAGUCAGGCUGGGCGACACUAGCGUUGAAGCCUACAAUCGGUUGCUGUAGUUGUUCAAGUCCAACUUGAUAGUGAUGGUACCCUAUGUAGAAGUUAGGGAUGGUCUUGGCCAGACUGGCGGACAGUGGUGCCGUAAAUCAGAGCCCCAUGGAGAUGGUUGCAGUGGAACAAAACAUGAUCGUUGAUGGAGGUACUGCUCAUUUAGUGGACAAUGAUUCUGUGUCCAGGAUAAGCAACAUGUUGGAAGGACUACUGGCUCCAGCAAAAUAGAAAGAUAUGGGACGGCCAAUGACAAGUAUGGAGAAGGCUCCAUAUGAAGUUCUAAGCAAGAGGACUAGGUUUUGCAUAAUUUGCAGAAAGCAAGGGCAUAAGCGAACUACAUGCCCUGACCCUGGUGAUGUCCCCAAGCAACCUUCGAAGCCUGCCAAAUGCAAGAACUAUGGCGUCGAGGGGCACCGACGAAAUCAUUGUAAUAAAGCAAUGGAACUAAGGCUGGCACCUGGCAAAUGGAAUGUAGAAGCUGAUGUGGCUCAUGAUGUCUUUCAGUUAUCUUAUUUGCUAUUGAGGCAUAUGAAUGUAGGUAUCAUGUUUUAGCUUCGGUGUGAUCAGACCGUGGUUACUUUCCAGACAGUGCAUGAGUAAUAUAAUAUACGGAGUAUGUCAGAUUGUCGGACCCUUCCCCAGACCCUGCGCAAGCGGGAGCUACAUGCACUGGGGCUGCCCUUUUUUUAGUAAAACCUUGGCCUGUUGGUGCAGCGGGAGUGGCUGAAUUGUUCUGAUUCGUUAUCUGAAAACUUGUACACUCCUGAAUAUUGAAAGAGAUGCAGAUGUGUUCUCGUUCGCUAUCUGAUUUCUGGAUUGUAAUCUAAGUUCCGGCCGUCGAUGCUUCACAGCAGGUAAACUGUUUGGCAUGAUGUUUUCGUAUGUAAAAAAAAUCCCCCAUGUAAAUGCCCCAUGACGCCGGCGAGCUUGUGUUUGAGCGGAGAAGGAGAUGGAGGCAUCAGGCAGCGGUGUAUUUGCUUCCGUACUCACAUGGCUCACCAGAUAUGCCUUGCCGGCGAUCAUCAACGAGCUUUCAGGGGGGAAGAGCUGUGUGAACCAGGUAGCAGAAAAUGAAUCUGAAGACACUGCAGAUUUGGUGGUGUCCUACGGAUCAUUUGAGAGCUCCUUCUCGAACGUCGCUGGAUUGGUCUCAGAUGAAGAUGAAUCAUAUGAAGAGCAGCCGCGCUUGCAGGCUUACAUGGAGGCGGAUCAUGGUGGUGAAGAAAGGACUGGCGACUAUGAUCCAUUUGGAGCCGCAGGGACUGAAGACCUGAAUGCCCUUGUUGGUGAAGAGGGAGAAGAUGGAGACAGAGGGGAACGAAUCUUCGGGAGGAAGGGACGAUGGGUUUGCCACAAUAAAUGCCUUAGUUGGAUGGAUCCCGUUAGAUGACUCACUUCUGAGCCGUGGGACAUGUAGUGCGGUCGCUUCUGAUCCGCCUCGCGGGCGGUGACAAUGUUCGCAUUAAAAGCGGUGGUUGAGUGGGCCAAGGGCUCUGAAAAGGCAGCAUAUACUACUUCAUAUACGAUGAGAUAUACCAAAGCUGGUGCGAAUCUAGGCGUGAGCUGAUGGCUAAGAUAUAGAGCUCAUCUGAGCUCGAGCUCAGAAUAGUACUUCCGCUGUUUGCCCCCUUUCUUUUUAGGGAAAGUUUUCUUACUGCCACAACUUGGUUGUUCUAACAUGACAAAAUAUUGGAUUUA